rnacentral:rRNA from 1 species
AUUGAACGCUGGCGGCAUGCCUUACACAUGCAAGUCGAACGGUAACAGGUCUUCGGAUGCUGACGAGUGGCGAACGGGUGAGUAAUACAUCGGAACGUGCCCGAUCGUGGGGGGUAACGAGGCGAAAGCUUUGCUAAUACCGCAUACGAUCUACGGAUGAAAGCGGGGGAUCUUCGGACCUCGCGCGGACGGAGCGGCCGAUGGCAGAUUAGGUAGUUGGUGGGAUAAAAGCUUACCAAGCCGACGAUCUGUAGCUGGUCUGAGAGGAUGAUCAGCCACACUGGGACUGAGACACGGCCCAGACUCCUACGGGAGGCAGCAGUGGGGAAUUUUGGACAAUGGGCGAAAGCCUGAUCCAGCCAUGCCGCGUGCAGGAUGAAGGCCUUUGGGUUGUAAACUGCUUUUGUACGGAACGAAAAGCCUCUUUCUAAUAAAGAGGGGUCAUGACGGUACCGUAAGAAUAAGCACCGGCUAACUACGUG